AACGAACGCUGGCGGCAGGCUUAACACAUGCAAGUCGAACGCAUCUUUCGGGGUGAGUGGCAGACGGGUGAGUAACGCGUGGGAACGUGCCCUUCAGUUCGGGAUAACCCAGGGAAACUUGGGCUAAUACCGGAAACGUCCGAGAGCAGAAAGACUUAUCGCUGAAGGAUCGGCCAGCCUCUGAUUAGCUAGUUGGUGGGGUAAUGGCCCACCAAGGCGACGAUCAGUAGCUGGUCUGAGAGGAUGAUCAGCCACAUUGGGACUGAGACACGGCCCAAACUCCUACGGGAGGCAGCAGUGGGGAAUAUUGGACAAGGGGCGCAAGCCUGGUCCAGCCAUGCCGCGUGAGUGAUGAAGGCCUUAGGGUUGUAAAGCUCUUUCGUCCGGGACGAUAAUGACGGUACCGGAAGAAGAAGCCCCGGCUAACUUCGUGCCAGCCGCCGCCGUAAUAC
rnacentral:rRNA from 1 species